rnacentral:rRNA from 1 species
GAUGAACGCUGGCGGCGUGCCUAAUACAUGCAAGUCGAGCGACCGGACGAUAAGCUUUCUUCCUUGAUGUUAGCGGCGGACGGGUGAGUAACACGUGGAUAACCUACCUAUAAGACUGGGAUAACUACGGGAAACCGGUUCUAAUACCGGAUCAUAUUUUGAACGGCAUGGUUCAAAAGUGAAAGACGGUCUUGCUGUCACUUAUAGAUGGUUCCGCGCUGCAUUAGCUAGUUGGUAAGGUAACGGCCUACCAAGGCAACGAUGCAUAGCCGACCUGAGAGGAUGAUCGGCCACACUGGAACUGAGACACGGUCCAGACUCCUACGGGAGGCAGCAGUAGGGAAUCUUGCGCAAUGGGCGAAAGCCUGACGGAGCAACGCCGCGUGAGUGAUGAAGGUCUUCGGAUCGUAAAACUCUGUUAUUAGGGAAGAACAUAUGUGUAAGUAACUGUGCACAUCUUGACGGUACCUAAUCAGAAAGCCACGGCUAACUACGUG